AAGUCGUAACAAGGUCUCCGUUGGUGAACCAGCGGAGGGAUCAUUACAGAGUUGCAAAACUCCCUUAAACCAUCGCGAACGUACCCGUACCGUUGCUUCGGUGGGCGGCUCCAGGGCGGAGCCGAAGCCUUCACGGGCGCCCGCCGGAGGACCUAUACCUAACUAUUUAUCUUAACUGGCCUCUCUGAGUAUUUUUAUAAUAAGUAAAAACUUUCAACAACGGAUCUCUUGGUUCUG
rnacentral:misc_RNA from 1 species